UGAAGGCCCUCUGGGUUGUAAACUUCUUUUAUUUGGGAAGAAAUCCAUUUUUCUAAGAUGGUUGACGGUACCAGAUGAAUAAGCACCGGCUAACUCCGUGC
rnacentral:rRNA from 1 species